UUCAACAGACAGGAACGCUCCAGACAACCAAGCACCCCGAGCUGCCAACUGGUGCUCUCAGCGCUGCUGGGCCAGCACCAGCUGCCGCCACCGGGGGUCAACUAUGCAGGGCAGGUGCUUCUCCUGGGGAAGCACAGGAAGUGGGAUCAAACUCAGGACAUCAGGCUUGUAUGGCAAGUGCUGCUGAAAAACAUGUGUGUGGGUGUUUUGCCUGCAUGUAUGCCUGUGCACCACAUGCACACCUGGUGGCCGCACAGGCUGGAAGAGGACUUUGGAUCCUCUGGACCUGGAGUUACAGAUGGCUGAGAGUCACCAUGCGUGAAGAACCCAGGAAGAGCCAACAACAGCAGCGCCUGUAAUCCCAGCAUGCCUCCAGCGAGACAGGAGGUGGAGGCAGAGGCCCCUCAGAAGCCAGAGGGCCAGCUAGCCUGGUGGACACACAGCAGACAACAAAGAGACCCUGUCUCAAACAAGGCAGAUGGUGAGGACUGACUGACAUCCGAGGCUGUUUCCUGACCUCCACACAUGUGCCAAGGCGGACACACCCUCAUAAACACCCCCCCACACACACACAGGUGUGUACACAUACAGGGAAAGGAAAGGGGCCGAAGCUGGAGCAGGAUAUCUUGGUCCCCUCCAGCACUGCAAAUAAAAACAGAUUUA